UACGGAGGGUGCAAGCGUUACUCGGAAUCACUGGGCGUAAAGAGCGUGUAGGCGGAUUAAUAAGUCAGAAGUGAAAUCCAAUAGCUCAACUAUUGAACUGCUUUUGAAACUGUUUAUCUAGAAUAUGGGAGAGGUAGAUGGAAUUUCUGGUGUAGGGGUAAAAUCCGUAGAGAUCAGAAGGAAUACCGAUUGCGAAGGCGAUCUACUGGAACAUUAUUGACGCUGAGACGCGAAAGCGUGGGGAGCAAACAGG
rnacentral:rRNA from 1 species